rnacentral:rRNA from 1 species
CCUACGGGUGGCAGCAGUGAGGAAUAUUGGUCAAUGGACGAAAGUCUGAACCAGCCAAGUCGCGUGAGGGAUGACUGCCCUAUGGGUUGUAAACUUCUUUUAUAUGGGAGUAAAAUGUUCCACGUGUUGGGUUUUGUAUGUACCAUAUGAGUAAGGAACGGCUAACUCCGUGCCAGCAGCCGCGGUAAUACGGAGGGUCCGAGCGUUAUCCGGAUUUAUUGGGUUUAAAGGGAGCGUAGGUGGAAUUGUAAGUCAAUUGGGAAAGUUUGCGGCUCAACCGUAAAAUUGCAGUUGAAACUGGCAGUCUUGAGUACAGUAGAGGUGGGCGGAAUUCGUGGUGUAGCGGUGAAAUGCUUAGAUAUCACGAAGAACUCCGAUUGCGAAGGCAGCUCACUGGACUGCAACUGACGCUGAGGCUCGAAAGUGUGGGUAUCAAACAGGAUUAGAUACCCGUGUAGUC